CUGGACCUCGGAUCAGGCCAGGCUACCCGCUGAAUUUAAGCAUAUUAAUAAGCGGAGGAAAAGAAACUAACAAGGAUUCCCCCAGUAACGGCGAGCGAAGCGGGAAUAGCUCAAAUUUGAAAUCUCCGGUGCUUGCACCGGCGAAUUGUAGUCUGUAGGGCCAGUUUCGCCCGAGACAGCGUCCCCAAAGUCGUCCUGGAAAGGCGAGCCGGAGAGGGUGAGAGCCCCGUACGCGGGGGCACUGUCGAGGGUAAGAUCUGUGCCCGAAGAGUCGGGUUGUUUGGGAUUGCAGCCCAAAAUGGGUGGUAAACUCCAUCUAAAGCUAAAUACCGGCACGAGACCGAUAGCG
rnacentral:rRNA from 1 species